AUUGAACGCUGGCGGCAUGCCUUACACAUGCAAGUCGAACGGUAACAGGUCUUCGGAUGCUGACGAGUGGCGAACGGGUGAGUAAUACAUCGGAACGUGCCUAGUAGUGGGGGAUAACUACUCGAAAGAGUGGCUAAUACCGCAUGAGAUCUAGGGAUGAAAGCAGGGGAUCGCAAGACCUUGUGCUACUAGAGCGGCCGAUGGCAGAUUCGGUAGUUGGUGGGAUAAAAGCUUACCAAGCCGACGAUCUGUAGCUGGUCUGAGAGGACGAUCAGGCACACUGGGACUGAGACACGGCCCAGACUCCUACGGGAGGCAGCAGUGGGGAAUUGUGGACAAUGGGCGCAAGGCUGAUCCAGCAAUGCCGCGUGCAGGAUGAAGGCCUUCGGGUUGGAAACUGCUUUUGUACGGAACGAAAAGCCCCGGGUUAAUACCCUGGGGUCAUGACGGUACCGUAAGAAUAAGCACCGGCUAACUACGUGCCAGCAGCCGCAGUAA
rnacentral:rRNA from 1 species